CACCGGAGGUCGCAUCAUAGAUCCUUUUCGGAGUUCUUUGGCUCCGAAAACAGUGGAAGCUCUUAUUUGUUGUCAAAAUUGGUUGAGAUCUUCUCCCAAUUUUCAGUAUGUUGAGUCACUCUUGCCUGAUAUUGAAGAUGAAGAAAGCUACAAGCUUGAGUCGGAAAUUUUGUCUAAUUCCCUCACAUUUGACGCGAAUUAAGGCUUAAUGGAUGAACUUUGCGGGGUAAUGUUUUGUUUAAAGUAUUUGGAAGCAAAUUUAAGGAAUUGAAG